rnacentral:rRNA from 1 species
GACGGAGGGGGCUAGCGUUGUUCGGAAUUACUGGGCGUAAAGGGCGCGUAGGCGGAUUAGUAAGUUGGGAGUGAAAGCCCGGGGCUUAACCUCGGAACCGCUUUCAAAACUGCUAGUCUAGAGUGAAGUGGGGGGUGAUGGAAUUCCUAGUGUAGAGGUGAAAUUCGUAGAUAUUAGGAGGAAUACCGGUGGCGAAGGCGGCCAUCUGGGACAUUCUUGACGCUGAGACUCGAAAGCGUGGGUAGCAAACAGG